rfam:Calocera cornea HHB12733 unplaced genomic scaffold CALCOscaffold_68, whole genome shotgun sequence.
GGGCGUGUAACUCAGGGGUAGAGUGCUUGCUUCGCAUUCCUGCUUGCAUGAAGUCGUGCGUUCGAUUCGCACCUCGUCCA